GAUUUCCAGUGCCAGGAGCCUAGGACAUGCUCAUUUUGUGACAUCACAUCUGACCCUGUGCCUUUGUGACAUGCCAGAAAGGUUCACGUAGGAACAAAAAGUUUGGGACUGCUGUCACAUAGCGAGGGCUCCGCGAUCCCCGUGCCCCUACGGACACAUCAUGCCGACGGCCGCUUACGUCUGCAACAAAGCCAGCAUGCUGCUCCGUCCGCCGCCUGCCCUCGGUCCCGGCCACCUUCUAGGCAGCAUCUUCAGGACAGCAGCUCUGUGAGAUGAAAGGAGACCGUCUGGCUAGGGCAGCCCUGUCCCCUUCUGCCUACCUUAAAAAUCAGUCGUGAGUCCCAGAGGCGCUGCAGCCAUCUUGCCACCAUGAGGCAACAAGCACAAGGACGAAAAUCCCACAUGGUGAGGCUGGUGGAACAGAAAGAACCUGAGUCCUUGGGACUCAACCUGCGCUGCCCACUUCUGGUCUCCUUGUUGGCUGAGCAAAAUAAACCCCUCUAGGCGGAAGCUGCUGUAACUGUGGU